rnacentral:rRNA from 1 species
GACGAACGCUGGCGGCGUGCUUAACACAUGCAAGUCGAACGGAAAGGCCCUGCUUUUGUGGGGUGCUCGAGUGGCGAACGGGUGAGUAACACGUGAGUAACCUGCCCUUGACUUUGGGAUAACUUCAGGAAACUGGGGCUAAUACCGGAUAGGUGCUCCUGCUGCAUGGUGGGGGUUGGAAAGUUUCGGCGGUUGGGGAUGGACUCGCGGCUUAUCAGCUUGUUGGUGGGGUAGUGGCUUACCAAGGCUUUGACGGGUAGCCGGCCUGAGAGGGUGACCGGCCACAUUGGGACUGAGAUACGGCCCAGACUCCUACGGGAGGCAGCAGUGGGGAAUACUGCACAAUGGGCGGAAGCCUGAUGCAGCAACGCCGCGUGCGGGAUGACGGCCUUCGGGUUGUAAACCGCUUUCGCCUGUGACGAAGCGUGAGUGACGGUAAUGGGUAAAGAAGCACCGGCUAACUACGUG